GACGAACGCUGGCGGCGUGCUUAACACAUGCAAGUCGAACGGAAAGGCCCUGCUUUUGUGGGGUGCUCGAGUGGCGAACGGGUGAGUAACACGUGAGUAACCUGCCCUUGACUUUGGGAUAGCUUCAGGAAACUGGGGCUAAUACCGGAUAGGAGCUCCUGCUGCAUGGUGGGGGUUGGAAAGUUUCGGCGGUUGGGGCUGGACUCGCGGCUUAUCAGCUUGUUGGUGGGGUAGUGGCUUACCAAGGCUUUGACGGGUAGCCGGCCUGAGAGGGUGACCGGCCACAUUGGGACUGAGAUACGGCCCAGACUCCUACGGGAGGCAGCAGUGGGGAAUAUUGCACAAUGGGCGGAAGCCUGAUGCAGCAACGCCGCGUGCGGGAUGACGGCCUUCGGGUUGUAAACCGCUUUCGCCUGUGACGAAGCGUGAGUGACGGUAAUGGGUAAAGAAGCACCGGCUAACUACGUG
rnacentral:rRNA from 1 species